CCCUAAUUCUGGUGUACUAUUUAUUUAGAAACCCUAGCCGCCAGUUUCAUCUUAUUCUCUUCAGAUUUACAUCUCAAUAUUUGGGCUCUCUGCGGCUAGAAAUGGAUGGCUGUUUGAGAAUGACUUUACGAGCAUGGUGCUACAUUGAUUGUUUGAUUCCUACUCCACCAUGGCUAGUUGAUGCAUAAUCUGCCUUGGAUUGGCUGCACUUUUCGAGCCAUGAAUGGAGACAUUAUAUCAUAUCAAAUCAUGUUUGUAAACGCAUUCUGCAGUUGUUUAACUUUGAUUUGCCAGCAUUAAUCCCUCUCCAAAUCGUUGGUUUACUUCACUCGAAACUUGCUUCUAUACUUGUGUGAUUUUUUAUUUUUUUUUUAAAAAUAAAUCUUUAUAUUGGUUUUUAAAAUUUUAGAAAAAUAUAUCAAUGGGUUAAAGACAUUUUCCUAUAGCUGGAAAUGAGCUUACUAUUAAUGUGUUCUGUUUUGAUUUUAAUGCAGCAAUUUACAAAAUUUAAUCUGUUCUGUUUUGAUUUUAAGACUACCUUAGAGAUACUCAUGGUUUGUUUAUUUUUUAAAAUAAAUUCUAAACAUGUUUUCUAAAAGAAAUAUUUCAUUUCAUCUAAAUUAUUUUUAUUAUAUGAUAAUAAUUUCUUAAAUGUUUUUUAUGUACAACAAAGUGACAUAAUAACAAUAAUCGGGACGGAGUGUUACUUAAAAAUUGAAAAAAAAUAAAGAACCAAAUUGUAAAGCCACCAAUUUCUUGUUUCAUUUGCAUAUAUUAAUUAAAAAAUAAAUAAAUAAUACUAAAUAC